rnacentral:other from 1 species
AAUCACCUGAAGUGUUCGUUAUAGGUUACGUCCCUGAGCCGAUAAUUUUAACUCCUUGAGUUGAACCCUUGAUUGUUGGUGAGCAGGCUCGCUUGCGAGAAGCCUAAAAACGAUUAUGUUUGACUCCCUUGAACCAUUUGGUUCAAGGACCACUACCGACAGCGGCACUUCGGGGCUUUA